rnacentral:lncRNA from 1 species
CUCUACACAAUUGAAGACAUGAGCAAGGAGGAAGAGCAGAUCUGAAGGCUACAACUUGGAGUUUUUCUUUCCCUUUAUUCUUUUAAUUGUGUAACUUCUAAAAGAUGAUUUAUCAAUUAUUUGCGGUUUUUAUUUCCGUUAUGAACUAAUUCCUUUUAUUAAGAUUCCAAUGGAACCUUUUAUGGUUAUGAGUUGAUUAAUUAAUUUAUUCCAAUUAUUUAUGUUGAAGUGAAUUGUUCAUCAUGCCUUGUAUUUAUCGAUUAAUUAUC